rnacentral:rRNA from 1 species
UUAAAACUCAAAUGAAUUGACGGGGGCCCGCACAAGCGGUGGAGCAUGUGGUUUAAUUCGAUGCAACGCGAAGAACCUUACCUGGUCUUGACAUCCACGGAAGUUUUCAGAGAUGAGAAUGUGCCUUCGGGAACCGUGAGACAGGUGCUGCAUGGCUGUCGUCAGCUCGUGUUGUGAAAUGUUGGGUUAAGUCCCGCAACGAGCGCAACCCUUAUCCUUUGUUGCCAGCGGUC